rnacentral:rRNA from 1 species
CCUACGGGUGGCAGCAGUGAGGAAUAUUGGUCAAUGGGCGCGAGCCUGAACCAGCCAAGUAGCGUGAAGGAUGAAUGCCCUACGGGUUGUAAACUUCUUUUAUAAAGGAAUAAAGUGAGGCACGUGUGCCUUUUUGUCUGUACUUUAUGAAUAAGGAUGGGCUAACUCCGUGCCAGCAGCAGCGGUAAUACGGAGGAUCCGAGCGUUAUCCGGAUUUAGUGGGUUUAAAGGGAGCGUAGAUGGGUUGUUAAGUCAGUUGUGAAAGUUUGCGGCUAAACCGUAAAAUUGCAAUUGAUACUGGCAUUCUUGAGUACAGUUGAGGUAGGCGUAAUUCGUGGUGUAGCGGUGAAAUGCUUAGAUAUCACGAAGAACUCCGAUUGCGAAGGCAGCUUACUAAACUGCCACUGACAUUGAUGCUCGAAAGUGUGGGUAUCAAACAGGAUUAGAUACCCGUGUAGUC